UACGUAGGGUGCAAGCGUUGUCCGGAAUUACUGGGCGUAAAGAGCUCGUAGGCGGUUUGUCACGUCGGAUGUGAAAGCCCGAGGCUCAACCUCGGGUCUGCAUUCGAUACGGGCAGACUAGAGUUCGGUAGGGGAGACUGGAAUUCCUGGUGUAGCGGUGAAAUGCGCAGAUAUCAGGAGGAACACCGGUGGCGAAGGCGGGUCUCUGGGCCGAUACUGACGCUGAGGAGCGAAAGCGUGGGGAG
rnacentral:rRNA from 1 species